GAUUGCUGAUUAUUUAAAAGAACCCUUACGAAUUUUAACCUACAAUGUUCUAUCACCAAUAUAUUUGAUUGGUAAAUUUAAAGAUUACCCAGCUUGGGCGUUGGAUUUAUCAUUUUGAAGAAAACUGAUUCUCAAAGAGCUAACCACCUUCAAGCCUGAUGUAGUAUGUCUACAAGAAGCGAGUGUUUUUCCUCAUUUUGAUCAAUUGUUCAUUGUAGUAUGUUCUCAUUGUGUUAUGUGUAGGCCGACGAGAAGUACAAAGACUAUUUGAAACCACUAGGCUAUGAAGUUUUAUAUAAAAUGUAGGUAUGUAAACUCUUGGCUUAAACUUUGACUUUGUCUAGCAUGUCGAUAUAUUAUUGCAUGUCUUAACUAUACUUUUGAUAUAAGAAUGGGCAUUUAAGAACUUUGAAACUCUUGUUUAAAUAAUUUGAAUGUUUGACGGAAUAUCAAACAAAAAGUCUUUUAAAUUUCAUUGUCUUUCAUGGAACUGAAUUUGAGAAUGAUCUCUGUUUCGACCUAAUGCAUAGGACAAUCGUCCGUAUAUGAGAUCAAAAGUGAACCAGUGAUCAGUUGGAAGAGUUAUGAGACUGAAGAGUUAAUCUUUUGAUCCUAUUCUUGUCAGAAGCAUAGACUGUUUAUAUUUCCUAUCAAGGAAAAAGCUAAAAUUUUGAAUACGACUUUCUCACAUGCUGUGGUUGUGAAUAGAUGGUAGAGAAAUCACUGUGAUUGCGGGAACUUAAAUUGCAGAAUAUUUAUGAAUAGAGUACUAUCUACACCAUUUUAGAUGGUAGAGAAAUCACUGUGAUUGUGCUAAAUAACACGGCUAAAUAUGUUGCCGAUAUCAUAUGGGACGAUGUGUGCAGCACAAAGGAUGUUUUUGCAUCAGACUAACACAAACAGAACCUGGAGAUGCAACAGAUGCAAAAUCACCAAAUACGCUUAAUUUCUGUUUUAUGGCCUGUUUGGGAAUCAACGUUUCAUUUAAAUUCUGAAAUAGGGCCAAGUUCAGUGUUUGGAUGAUAUUAUAUUUGAUUUUGUGGAAUUGGUCCAAUUCCAGUUGGCCUUUUAAUAUUAUGGUGGGUCUUGAAUUAAAAAUCACAACCAGAGAGGUGUCAUUUGGAAUUUACCGAGUUUUGUUUUCUCUCAAACUCGUCUCUUGCUUCGAGUCCCAACUCUCUCUGUCCUCUCUAUAUUCUAUCCCUCUCCUCUUUCUCUCUUGAUUCAUUAACCCUAAUCCUAGAUCCAAUCCAUGUCUUUCUCUUGAUCGCUGACUUUUCAUGUGAACCCUAAUUCCCAGUCUUAGCGAGUCCUAGCCGUGAUCGUUUCAGCCAAUCUCUUCGUCUCCGAUGUCAAGCAUGAGGAUCUCGUGCGCUCGAGGACAAUGAUACUUUUGAGGACUUCACUUGAGGAGGAGGAUCAUUUUGGGAUAAUUACAGCGACCUACACUUGCUGGCUCAUGCGGAUACAAGAGUAUUCAAGAUGAAAUGAGACUACAAUGGCACAAGCAAAUAGAUGGAAUAGCACGCUAAAGGACGAUGCCAAACAAACCACUGCUGACAUGCUUAUUUGCGAAACUAAUUAAAUAAACCAGCAAUGCAGUUCUCCAAAAGAAGUAAAGAAAUACUAAGUGGAAUCGUGGAACCAAUAUGCUACAAAUAGCUUUAACAGUUCAUGAAAUAUUUAUUCUUAAACCAUCCUUCAUUCUGCAAUUUCUAUCACGAACCUCGACCCUAAUUAGCAAAAGUGUAAGAGAUAGAAAAGCUAAUUAUACGUCUAUGGAAUGAUUAUCAAACCAAAACUAAAUAAGGAAUAAAUCCCGCUAAAAUAAUCAUUCUAGAGGACUGCAAUACCAGAUCAGUUAAGUAAAAUCAUGAAAUGUGUUUGUUGAACAGGAGCACAGGAAGAAUGUAACAGAAUGAGCACAACUGCACAUGUUGUCAGUCAAGAACAUAUCUACGGAGCGUCAGAACCGACACUGUUAUUUAGUAAUACCUCAAAGAAAAUACACAUAUAGAUUUCACCUUCAGAUUCAAAAUUUUGAUUAUCACUAAAAUCAUGCACUAACAAAUGUCCUUCAAUAUCUUCCAGAGUUGCAUUUAGAUUAUAGGAUACAACUAUGUUAGUCUAAUAUAACACAUGUACACCAUAAAUUUAUAGAAGAUAACAAGAAAAAGUAAGAAACUUACAAGGAACCUCAUCUAACCAAGAACCAAGGCAUAUUUGAGCUUUGGUAUUUUUCGGAAGAAUACGAUUGCGAUACUUAUCAAGCACACGACUAGCUAUGCUGAAAGCAGAUUCAGAGGCCACUGAAGUAACAUGGAUACUAAGUAUAUCACGAGCCAUCAGGGAUAAAUGAGGACACUUCUCAGAUUCUACUUUCCAAUAUUCAAGAACAUUCAGAUUCUCAUUUUUCUUCCAAGAAAUCAUCUUUUUAUCUAAAUACUUUUCUAAUUCA